rnacentral:rRNA from 1 species
UACGUAGGGUGCGAGCGUUACUCGGAAUUACUGGGCGUAAAGCGUGCGCAGGCGGUUGGUUAAGUCUGAUGUGAAAUCCCCGGGCUCAACCUGGGAACUGCAUUUGUGACUGCACGGCUGGAGUGCGGCAGAGGGGGAUGGAAUUCCGCGUGUAGCAGUGAAAUGCGUAGAUAUGCGGAGGAACACCGAUGGCGAAGGCAAUCCCCUGGGCCUGCACUGACGCUCAUGCACGAAAGCGUGGGGAGCAAACAGG